rnacentral:rRNA from 1 species
AGGGGUGUAUUUAUUAGAUAAAAAACCAAUGCCCUUCGGGGCUCUUUGGUGAUUCAUGAUAACUUAACGGAUCGCAUGGCCUUGCGCCGGCGACGGUUCAUUCAAAUUUCUGCCCUAUCAACUUUCGAUGGUAAGGUAUUGGCUUACCAUGGUUUCAACGGGUAACGGGGAAUUAGGGUUCGAUUCCGGAGAGGGAGCCUGAGAAACGGCUACCACAUCCAAGGAAGGCAGCAGGCGCGCAAAUUACCCAAUCCCGACACGGGGAGGUAGUGACAAUAAAUACUGAUACAGGGCUCUUUUGGGUCUUGUAAUCGGAAUGAGUACAAUUUAAACCCCUUAACGAGGAACAAUUGGAGGGCAAGUCUGGUGCCAGCAGCCGCGGUAAUUCCAGCUCCAAUAGCGUAUAUUAAAGUUGUUGCAGUUAAAAAGCUCGUANUUGAACCUUGGGCCUGGCUGGCCGGUCCGCCUCACCGCGUGUACUGGUCCGGCCGGGCCUUUCCNUCUGGAGAGCCGCAUGCCCUUCACUGGGUGUGUCGGGGAANCAGGACUUUUACUUUUGAAAAAAUUAAGUGGUCAAAGCAGGNCUUUGCUCGAAUACGUUACAUGGAAAAUAAAANAGGACGUGGGGNCCUAUUU